rnacentral:lncRNA from 1 species
AUUUGGAUACCACCUAUGAAGAAGUGGCAAAUUUCAUCCAAAUGGGGAAAAAAGAGAACAACAGGCCAGCAACCUCAGCUUCUAAUCCAUUAAAUUGCAGUGACACACCCCAAAUUAGUAUUUCUUAUUGUUCAGUCAGAUUUAUUUCCCUCAAAAUGAAAUUCUUAUCUCUCUACAGAAUGCUUUUUUUCCAAUAAAAACUUUGUUACCAGCAUCAGAGUUCCCACUGUGCUGCAGUGGGUUAAGAAUCCGACUGCACUUUUAAAUCUGAGAGGACAAGAUGGCGGAGGAGUAGGGGGACACGCUCGCCCUCUCCCACAAACACAACAAAAAAAAAACACAUCUACAGAAGAAAUGACUCGCACAGAACAACAACCAAUCGCUGGCAGAGGAACCUAAACUCCAAUAACGGCAAGAAAUUCGUGACAUUAUUGGGCAGAACGGGAGAAAAGAGGAGAGUGAGAGAAGGUGAAUCCGAGCGGGACCGGCGCUCCCGAAAGGGAACUGCGGAGGAGAAAGGGAUCCCGCACCCUGGAAAGUCUCCUACCGGGGAAAGAUCAAACCAACCGGAGGAAUCUCCAGAUGCAGAGAAGAGUGUAGCAGUAAGUCGGAGUACGGAAAAACGAUCAAGAACCCAACGGACCAUCUGAACUACGGGCACAGUCACCAAAAAUUGAGACGCCUGGGUGGGGGCUGGGCACCGAAUCCUCGGCUCCAGAGACAGAUUCCCAGGAGGAGUGUAACACCUGCUGAUUUGACGCUUUUCCGUCUAGCCAUUCCAUGGCAUGGAACAAAAAUGACAAAUAUGGGUGAGUGUUCCCAGCUGAAGGAGGAUUGCCAGAUUUACAACAAACAAACAAAUGAAAAGCAGGACCUCGCAAUUACAUUUGAAUUUCAGGUGAAGAAUGAUCAUUUUUCAGGAUAUAUAUGUCCUAAACAUUACAUGUUUCUUGAGAAUCAAAUGAGCCUUCCCUGGGUAGCAUUCCCCAGCUGGCUUACCCCUGGAGGCUUUGCCUACUUUGAAAUAUCUCUCUUCAGAGUUCCUGUCAUGGCUCAGCGGAAGUGA